AGAUAUUUCUUAAUGACAUUAAAGGCACCAUAUCCCAUCAGAUCUUGAAAGCUAACCAGGGUCAGUCCUGGUUAGUAUUUCCAUGGGAGACUGACAACGAACACUGGAUGCUCUGAGAUAUCUU
rnacentral:rRNA from 11 species